rnacentral:rRNA from 1 species
AGAGUUUGAUCCUGGCUCAGGAUGAACGCUAGCUACAGGCUUAACACAUGCAAGUCGAGGGGCAGCAUGGUCUUAGCUUGCUAAGGCCGAUGGCGACCGGCGCACGGGUGAGUAACACGUAUCCAACCUGCCGUCUACUCUUGGACAGCCUUCUGAAAGGAAGAUUAAUACAAGAUGGCAUCAUGAGUCCGCAUGUUCACAUGAUUAAAGGUAUUCCGGUAGACGAUGGGGAUGCGUUCCAUUAGAUAGUAGGCGGGGUAACGGCCCACCUAGUCUUCGAUGGAUAGGGGUUCUGAGAGGAAGGUCCCCCACAUUGGAACUGAGACACGGUCCAAACUCCUACGGGAGGCAGCAGUGAGGAAUAUUGGUCAAUGGGCGAGAGCCUGAACCAGCCAAGUAGCGUGAAGGAUGACUGCCCUAUGGGUUGUAAACUUCUUUUAUAAAGGAAUAAAGUCGGGUAUGGAUACCCGUUUGCAUGUACUUUAUGAAUAAGGAUCGGCUAACUCCGUGCCAGCAGCCGCGGUAAUACGGAGGAUCCGAGCGUUAUCCGGAUUUAUUGGGUUUAAAGGGAGCGUAGAUGGAUGUUUAAGUCAGUUGUGAAAGUUUGCGGCUCAACCGUAAAAUUGCAGUUGAUACUGGAUAUCUUGAGUGCAGUUGAGGCAGGCGGAAUUCGUGGUGUAGCGGUGAAAUGCUUAGAUAUCACGAAGAACUCCGAUUGCGAAGGCAGCUUACUAGAUUGUAACUGACGCUGAUGCUCGAAAGUGUGGGUAUCAAACAGGAUUAGAUACCCUGGUAGUCCACACGGUAAACGAUGAAUACUCGCUGUUUGCGAUAUACUGUAAGCGGCCAAGCGAAAGCGUUAAGUAUUCCACCUGGGGAGUACGCCGGCAACGGUGAAACU